rnacentral:rRNA from 1 species
GAUCAUGGCUCAGGACACGCUGGCGGCGUGCUUAACACAUGCAAGUCGAACGGUGACGGAGAGCUUGCUCUCCUGAUCAGUGGCGAACGGGUGAGUAACACGUGGGCAACCUGCCCCAGACUUCGGGAUAACGCUUCGAAAGAGGUGCUAAUACCGAAUACGAACGCCGUGGGCAUCCACGGUGUUGGAAAGUUUUCGGUCUGGGAUGGGCCCGCGGCCUAUCAGCUUGUUGGUGAGGUAAUGGCUCACCAAGGCGACGACGGGUAGCCGGCCUGAGAGGGCGACCGGCCACACUGGGACUGAGACACGGCCCAGACUCCUACGGGAGGCAGCAGUGGGGAAUAUUGCGCAAUGGGCGAAAGCCUGACGCAGCAACGCCGCGUGGGGGAUGAAGGCCUUCGGGUUGUAAACCUCUUUCAGCAGGGAAGAAGCGAAAGUGACGGUACCUGCAGAAGAAGCACCGGCUAACUACGUG